rnacentral:rRNA from 1 species
GACGAACGCUGGCGGCGCGCUUAAUACAUGCAAGUCGAACGGAAAGGCCUGCUUUCCCUUGUGGAUUGCGGGUACUCGAGUGGCGAACGGGUGAGUAACACGUGAGUGAUCUGCCCCCAACUUGGGUAUAAGCCUGGGAAACUGGGUCUAAUUCCCGAUAGGACUGCAGGGUGGUGCCUGUGGUGGAAAACGAUUUUCUAGUGGUUGGGGAUGAGCUCGCGGCCUAUCAGCUUGUUGGUGGGGUAAUGGCCUACCAAGGCGGCGACGGGUAGCCGGCCUGGGAGGGUGGACGGCCACAUUGGGACUGAGAUACGGCCCAGACUCCUACGGGAGGCAGCAGUGGGGAAUAUUGCACGAUGGGCGGAAGCCUGAUGCAGCGACGCCGCGUGGGGGAUGACGGCCUUCGGGUUGUAAACUCCUUUCGACCGCGAGGAAGCCACCUGGUUGGAAGGGUGGUGACGGUAGUGGUAGAAGAAGCACCGGCUAACUACGUG